CAGCUAAGCUCCCUGCUUAAAGGAGCACUUCUAUACCUAAAUGUGGACUAAAACUGAACUUCACAGAAAAUGGAGGCGUUUCUCACAUAGAUCAGGCUGGAGAAGUAUCUCUCUUGCAGAUUAUGCAGGACAGACGCUUCGUUGAGGAACGUGAGAGCAGCCAUAUCCUCCACCUUGCUGAACUUGGCGGGUUCGAAUCCCUGCCUCUCUGAUGGGACCCACACCAUCUUCUUGGCCGCCCAGUCAGCCUGGGCCACCCCACUGUUACGGAAGUCGUUUUCCAGGAAGAGCCUUGUUUCCAUCCUAAAUUUGGGGACCCUUCCUCUACAAAGAGCUUCUUGUCCUGAAGACGGACACCAAC